rnacentral:rRNA from 1 species
CCUACGGGAGGCUGCAGUGGGGAAUAUUGCACAAUGGGCGCAAGCCUGAUGCAGCCAUGCCGCGUGUGUGAAGAAGGCCUUCGGGUUGUAAAGCACUUUCAGCGGGGAGGAAGGCGUUAAGGUUAAUAACCUUGGCGAUUGACGUUACCCGCAGAAGAAGCACCGGCUAACUCCGUGCCAGCGGCCGCGGUAAUACGGAGGGUGCAAGCGUUAAUCGGAAUUACUGGGCGUAAAGCGCACGCAGGCGGUCUGUCAAGUCGGAUGUGAAAUCCCCGGGCUCAACCUGGGAACUGCAUUCGAAACUGGCAGGCUAGAGUCUUGUAGAGGGGGGUAGAAUGCCAGGUGUAGCGGUGAAAUGCGUAGAGAUCUGGAGGAAUACCGGUGGCGCAGGCGGCCCCCUGGACAAAGACUGACGCUCAGGUGCGAAAGCGUGGGGAGCAAACAGGAUUAGAUACCCCUGUAGUC